GGAACUGCAUUUUUAUUUAUUAAUUGUAUCCCGUCUCUACAUAGCUGUCAUACUGUACUGUGCCCGUCGUGUGUGCAGCCUCAAACCCAGAAAUGUAAUAAUGCCAUCAAAUAGGAGGAAAAAUUCAAUGUCAGUGUGGAUCAGCAUGAUGUUUGCUAUACGUCGCACAUAGAAUCCAUAACAGCUACCAUAACAACUGACGAUUCAACUUCUCUCAUUCCAUCCACCCAGCUUCCAGCACCGGGCCAUGAGACCUAAAUCAAGCACCGCCUGUUACUAGCUUCCAAGAACUUCCUGGGGUUUUGCUUUAUUAAUCCACGUUAAAGGGCACCUAAGACUCCUAAAAUGUCAUCUAUUCAAAAUGCUUGUUUUUUUUUAAACAAAUGUAAAGAUUGGGAGAAAAACUUAUUUAAAAUAAUUU